rnacentral:misc_RNA from 1 species
CAAAUUGAGAAAAACUAAACCAAGAGAAAGCAACCUUCGACUCUUAUCCCAAGAUUCAAUCUUCAGUUCACUAGGACAUGAUUUUUUUGGAUGCUUUUCCUCCUUACCCACCAAUCUAAAUAUAUUUCAUUUCCUUCGAUUUUCUGUUUGUUCUUUCUUGCACAAGUAAAAAAAAAAGAGAAGAAAGAUGUCAACUUUGGUGGUGAAUUCCCACAUUUUAUCCCACAUAAACCAAAGCGGUGGUGGUGGUGGCUGCUACGUACUGCAAACAACUUCUGGGGGUUGUAAUUG